UGGGGAAUUGUUCGCAAUGGGCGCAAGCCUGACGACGCAACGCCGCGUGGAGGAUGAAGGUCUUCGGAUUGUAAACUCCUGUUGCCCGGGACGAAUAGCUUCGACCUAAUACGUUGAAGUCUGACGGUACCGGGUGAGGAAGCCCCGGCUAACUCUGUGCCAGCAGCCGCGGUAAUACAGAGGGGGCAAGCGUUGUUCGGAAUUACUGGGCGUAAAGGGCGCGUAGGCGGCCUGUUAAGUCGAACGUGAAAUCCCCGGGCUCAACCCGGGAACUGCGUCCGAUACUGACAGGCUUGAAUUCGGGAGAGGGAUGCGGAAUUCCAGGUGUAGCGGUGAAAUGCGUAGAUAUCUGGAGGAACACCGGUGGCGAAGGCGGCAUCCUGGACCGAGAUUGACGCUGAGGCGCGAAAGCCAGGGGAGCAAACGGGAUUAGAUACCCCGGUAGUCC
rnacentral:rRNA from 1 species